rnacentral:lncRNA from 1 species
GCCAAAUUGGACUUUCAAUAUGUCAACUCAGAAAUUUUCAACCAGGCCAAUGGGAAAAUGACUCUUAAAAUAAGCAAUGCAAAAUGUGUCCUUUUCAAUGGGAUCAGAACAAGGCAAUGUCAAUGAAGUGAGAGUUGUUUGCUUCUCCUUUGAUGUUUGAGUCAUACCAUAAUAUAAAGACUAAAAAAAAUUUCAGAAUUUUCACUUACUUCAUUGGCUCUUUCUUUAUCCACCUCUUUUUGGCACUAAUGAGUUCUAGAAAUUUUGACUUUUCUUGGAUGGUCUACUACUCAAUUUUUUCAGAAGUUGCAUGUUGCAACACAAUAAAUUGCUUUUAUAGUAGAGAAGUUUUCCCUGCCAAACUACAAUUUUCAUAUUUUCACACUUUUGAUUGAGAUUAUUUAGUAAGGGAUAAAUUCCAAUAUUCUCCUCCCUUAUCCCCUAG